rnacentral:rRNA from 1 species
CAGCCGCCGCGGUAAUACGGAGGGGGCUAGCGUUGUUCGGAAUUACUGGGCGUAAAGCGCACGUAGGCGGCUUUGUAAGUUAGAGGUGAAAGCCUGGAGCUCAACUCCAGAAUUGCCUUUAAGACUGCCGAGCUAGUAGGUGAGAGAGGUAAGUGGAAUUCCGAGUGUAGAGGUGAAAUUCGUAGAUAUUCGGAAGAACACCAGUGGCGAAGGCGGCUUACUGGCUCAUUCUAGACGCUGAGGUGCGAAAGCGUGGGGAGCAAACAGGAUUAGAUACCCCCGUAGUCCCUGUCUCUUAUAC